rnacentral:rRNA from 1 species
AACGAACGCUGGCGGCAGGCCUAACACAUGCAAGUCGAGCGCCCUUUCGGGGGAGCGGCGGACGGGUGAGUAACGCGUGGGAAUAUGCCCUUCUCUACGGAAUAGCCUCGGGAAACUGAGAGUAAUACCGUAUACGCCCUUUGGGGGAAAGAUUUAUCGGGGAAGGAUUAGCCCGCGUUGGAUUAGGUAGUUGGUGGGGUAAUGGCCUACCAAGCCGACGAUCCAUAGCUGGUUUGAGAGGAUGAGCAGCCACACUGGGACUGAGACACGGCCCAGACUCCUACGGGAGGCAGCAGUGGGGAAUCUUAGACAAUGGGGGCAACCCUGAUCUAGCCAUGCCGCGUGAGUGAUGAAGGCCUUAGGGUUGUAAAGCUCUUUCAGCUGGGAAGAUAAUGACGGUACCAGCAGAAGAAGCCCCGGCUAACUCCGUG